UACGUAGGGGCUAGCGUUAUCCGGAAUUACUGGGCGUAAAGGGUGCGUAGGCGGUCUUUCAAGCCAGAAGUGAAAGGCUACGGCUCAACCGUAGUAAGCUUUUGGAACUGUAAGACUUGAGUGCAGGAGAGGAGAGUGGAAUUCCUAGUGUAGCGGUGAAAUGCGUAGAUAUAUGGAGGAACACCAGUGGCGAAGGCGACUUUCUGGUCUAUUAUUGACGCUGAGGCUCGAAAGCAUGGGUAGCAAACAGGAUUAGAUACCCUGGUAGU
rnacentral:rRNA from 1 species